GCCAUGACUUAAUUUCACUGACGCAACCUUUUUUUCCCUAUAGCUCAAGUGGGCGGGGCUUACCGUUCUGCGUGAUGAUACAGAUUUCCUUUGGCGGCCAAACCGAAAUGCUGAUGUCAGCAUUUUUGCUAACAGGUAAAAUUAAGAAAAACAAAACAAAACUAUACGAUACGGCUACUUCUUAGAGGGAACAAAUAGAAGAAGUGGGUAAUUUUAACAAUUGGUUUAUGAACAAGAGUCGGAGGCAGUUAUUAUAAUUGGCGGGCUAAUAUUGUUGCUAGCUAGUGCUAGCUAGUCUUUCUCCUGUACUUCACGUACCUGUUAGCUGAGCUACAGCCCGCGGAGCAUGAACCACGGACACAGCCAAGAAGUAGAACAACACCUGGUUCAAGGCUGUUCUGGCAGAUGACGUGAUUGGCAACUCCUGUCCCUCCACCUGUGUCAUUUGUCCACAGUGCAGAGCAGUUUCUGAUCCAGACUUUGCAGGAGGAGAAGAGGUCAAGGGAGCUGGCCUGCUGUUGAGCACCCAAUGGGAUGCAUUUGAUUCUGUCAGGAACAAUUUGGCGCCGGUGCAGGGUGUGCCGGGAGCAUGUCAGCAUGAUUUAGGUUUCCUCUACUGGGGUACCGCCAUCAGGGAGAGUCCCUCUCAACUGACCGUGACUGGAGCUGGCAAAUGGAUGGUGUAA
rnacentral:lncRNA from 1 species